rnacentral:rRNA from 1 species
GACGAACGCUGGCGGCGUGCUUAACACAUGCAAGUCGAGCGGAAAGGCCACUUCGGUGGUACUCGAGCGGCGAACGGGUGAGUAACACGUGAGUAAUCUGCCCCUCACUUUGGGAUAGCCACCGGAAACGGUGAUUAAUACCGGAUAUGACCAUAUGUCGCAUGGCGUGUGGUGGAAAGUUUUUCGGUGAGGGAUGUGCUCGCGGCCUAUCAGCUUGAUGGUGAGGUAAUGGCUCCCCAUGGCUUCGACGGGUAGCCGGCCUGAGAGGGUGACCGGUCACACUGGGACUGAGACACGGCCCAGACUCCUACGGGAGGCAGCAGUGGGGAAUAUUGGACAAUGGGCGGAAGCCUGAUCCAGCAACGCCGCGUGAGGGAUGACGGCCUUCGGGUUGUAAACCUCUUUCAGUACCGACGAAGCGCAAGUGACGGUAGGUACAGAAGAAGCACCGGCCAACUACGUG